CAAUACAAGAAAACUAUAAUGAGAAAAAGAAGUUCAAAACAGAACUUACAGUUCGACAAGUCAGGAAGCUCACAGCACUUUUCCGACCAGCUCAAGUCCAUUCAACUGCUCUAGCCACUCGUUCUCCAGUCCAGGCUAAAGUUUGGGAUCGGGAAGUUCAUGAAGGAGCUAAGGAAUCGCUGCCACAUGCCCACAGGGAUGGACAUGCUAGAGAUCCUUAUGCCAAUGGUGAUGCCAGGAGUUAUCCAGUGUUAGCUCAUGAAAGGGACCAGCGUGUUGCAUACCGAGAUGCGGCAUCUGUAAGGAGAGGAAACUUCUCAUGAUUUAUACCUUACUGAAAAGGAAUAUAUCGAGCUUAUGGUCUUCGAGGAGAGAGAAGAAAUGUGUCUCCUCGUAUCGUUCCUCCAGCUCUGUAGAUGCGUAUGCAAGGGAUCCAUAUUACGGCUACUCCUAUUAUGGUUCUUCAUCAUUGGACCCAUAUCUGGCACCCCAGAGGAGAGAGAAUCAUCUAAUUGAAACUGAUCGUGUGGAGAGAUUAUACUCAACACAUGCUGUUGGUGGAAGGAGAGAGAACUACCUGAUUGAGACUGAUCCUGUGCUAAGGAGAGAAACUGAUCGUGGAGAGA